GGCUUACACAGUAUGGCCGGCGACAUUAGCUAGCGCUCGCUCAACUCUCCUAACGGGAAAGCAGCGGACUACAAGAGACUGAACUGUAUCUGCCUCUAUUUCCAACAGACUCACGUUCAACUUUCGCUCACGAAAAUAGCCGGGAAAAUUUUAUUAGUCCUUUUUUUAAAAAAAAGUUAAUAUAAAAUUAUAGCAAAAAAAAAAAAAA
rnacentral:lncRNA from 1 species